rnacentral:rRNA from 1 species
AGCGAACGCUGGCGGCAGGCCUAACACAUGCAAGUCGAACGAACUCUUCGGAGUUAGUGGCGGACGGGUGAGUAACACGUGGGAACGUGCCUUUAGGUUCGGGAUAACUCAGGGAAACUUGUGCUAAUACCGAAUGUGCCCUUCGGGGAAGGAUUAUCGCCUUUAGAGCGGCCCGCGUCUGAUUAGCUAGUUGGUGAGGUAAAGGCUCACCAAGGCGACGAUCAGUAGCUGGUCUGAGAGGAUGAUCAGCCACAUUGGGACUGAGACACGGCCCAAACUCCUACGGGAGGCAGCAGUGGGGAAUCUUGCGCAAUGGGCGAAAGCCUGACGCAGCCAUGCCGCGUGAAUGAUGAAGGUCUUAGGAUUGUAAAAUUACUUUCACCGGGGACGGAUAAUGACGGUACCCGGAGAAGAAGCCCCGGCUAACUUCGUGCCAGCAGCCGCGGUAAU